rnacentral:rRNA from 1 species
AAACUUACCAGGUCAAGACAUGGGCGUGAUUGACAGGCUAAUGACUUUUCUCGAUUCCAUGGAUGGUGGUGCAUGGUCGCACUUAGUUGGUGCAGUGAUUUGUCAGGUUUAUUCCGGUAACGAACGAGACCUCGGCCUUGUAAAUAGCUAUGCUGCUUACAGGGACAUUGGCGGCUACGCCAAGGAAGCUCGAGGCAAUUGCAGAUCUGGAAUGCCCUUAGAUGUCCUGGGUCGCACGCGUGCUACAAUGACGCCACGAACGAGCUUGCGUGAUGAAAGUUACGCAUAAUCAGCAGUCGGCGUCUUAAGGGAUAGUCUCUUGUAACUGUGGGACUCCAACUAGGAAUGUCUCGUAAGCACAAGUCAACAUCUUGUGUUGGUUACGUCCCUGCUCUUUGUACACACCGCCCGUCGCUCCUACCGAUCGAGUGUUUAGGUGAAUUUGAUGGACGUAAGGAAGUCAAAUAAACCUGAGCACUAGAGAAGAGAAGUCGAGCAUC